rnacentral:lncRNA from 1 species
UCUCAGUAGCUGAUGUUUAUCUUGAAUUUUCCAUGGGUCAGAUACAGUGCUGAACAUGUCUCACAAGUGAUCAUGUUCAAUCCUCACCAUGGCCCCUUGAGCUCCAUCUCAUCAUUAUUGUAUUCCUGUUAUACAGAUGAGGGAAACGGAGGUAUAAGUAGUCAAGCAACUUGCCCAAGAUCACAGAGCUGGCGAGUGUGGGUCCCGCUUUCUUUGGUGCUGGGCUUUGAAAUCCCCAAGCUUUCCUGAACUUGAUGUUCUCAGGUUUUAAAUUCUAGGAUGUGAUGGCAGGGAGAUCCUGGGAUUUGGAGAGUCCUUGGAGACUUGAAGCUUGUGAGGCUUUUAGGUUGUCCAGGAAUUGGCGGCUGCAUCUCUUGACCUCAGCAGGCACUCUAUUCAACCACUGGUCAGCAUGGUAGACCAGCCCCCAGGGGCUUCUCCUGACAGGCCAUGGUGAAGACUUCCAGCUCCCAGCACCCUGCAAAGCCCAGGGUUCUAGUCGUCCAACAACCACUCCAGCCCUCUACAAGACUGGCUUCAGACCCUUCUGGAAAAGCCCAGAAUGGGCCUGAUGGCCUCCAAGUCCUCCCUCCGUCCCGCUGCACUAUCUAGCCUCGGCAUUGGCUCAUCC